rnacentral:rRNA from 1 species
CCCCUAGACGUUCUGGGCUGCACGCGCGGUACAAUAAUACGCACAGCGAGUAUCACCGAGCUCGAAAGGGCAAGGUAAACAAUAGAAAAGGUACUGUAAUGGUUAUAGAUCCUUGUAAUUAUUGAUCUUCAACGAGGAAUUCCUAGUAAGUAUGUGUCAUCAUCACGCACUGAUUACGUCCCUGCCCUUUGUACACACCGCCCGUCGCUCCUACCGAUUGAGUGAGCCGAUGAAACUGCCGGAUGUGGACUAUUCAUAGUCUGCAGAAGAUAUUUGAAUCGUAGCGCUUAGAGGAAGGAGAAGUCGUAACA